rnacentral:rRNA from 1 species
UGGGGAAUUUUGGACAAUGGGCGAAAGCCUGAUCCAGCAAUGCCGCGUGUGUGAAGAAGGCCUUCGGGUUGUAAAGCACUUUUGUCCGGAAAGAAAUCCUUGGCUCUAAUACAGUCGGGGGAUGACGGUACCGGAAGAAUAAGCACCGGCUAACUACGUGCCAGCAGCCGCGGUAAUACGUAGGGUGCAAGCGUUAAUCGGAAUUACUGGGCGUAAAGCGUGCGCAGCGGUUCGCUAAGACCGAUGUGAAAUCCCCGGGCUCAACCUGGGAACUGCAUUGGUGACUGGCAGGCUAGAGUAUGGCAGAGGGGGGUAGAAUUCCACGUGUAGCAGUGAAAUGCGUAGAGAUGUGGAGGAAUACCGAUGGCGAAGGCAGCCCCCUGGGCCAAUACUGACGCUCAUGCACGAAAGCGUGGGGAGCAAACAGGAUUAGAUACCCUGGUAGUCCACGCCCUAAACGAUGUCAACUAGUUGUUGGGGAUUCAUUUCCUUAGUAACGUAGCUAACGCGUGAAGUUGACCGCCUGGGGAGUACGGUCGCAAGAUUAAAACUUAAAUGAAUUGACGGGGUCAU